UACGUAGGGGGCAAGCGUUGUCCGGAAUCAUUGGGCGUAAAGAGCGCGUAGGCGGCCCUGUAAGUCCGCUGUGAAAGUCAAGGGCUCAACCCUUGAAUGCCGGUGGAUACUGCAGGGCUAGAGUCCGGAAGAGGCGAGUGGAAUUCCUGGUGUAGCGGUGGAAUGCGCAGAUAUCAGGAGGAACACCGGUGGCGAAGGCGGUUCUCUGGGCCUUACCUGACACUGAGGAGCGAAAGCGUGGGGAGCGAACAGG
rnacentral:rRNA from 1 species